GACGAACGCUGGCGGCGUGCUUAACACAUGCAAGUCGAACGGAAAGGCCCUGCUUUUGUGGGGUGCUCGAGUGGCGAACGGGUGAGUAACACGUGAGUAACCUGUCCUUGACUUUGGGAUAACUUCAGGAAACUGGGGCUAAUACCGGAUAGGAGCUCCUGCUGCGUGGUGGGGGUUGGAAAGUUUCGGCGGUUGGGGAUGGACUCGCGGCUUAUCAGCUUGUUGGUGGGGUAGUGGCUUACCAAGGCUUUGACGGGUAGCCGGCCUGAGAGGGUGACCGGCCACAUUGGGACUGAGAUACGGCCCAGACUCCUACGGGAGGCAGCAGUGGGGAAUAUUGCACAAUGGGCGGAAGCCUGAUGCAGCAACGCCGCGUGCGGGAUGACGGCCUUCGGGUUGUAAACCGCUUUCGCCUGUGACGAAGCGUGAGUGACGGUAAUGGGUAAAGAAGCACCGGCUAACUACGUG
rnacentral:rRNA from 1 species